rnacentral:rRNA from 1 species
UUWGAUUAAGUUAUUAAGGGCGCACGGUGGAUGCCUUGGCACUAGAAGCCGAUGAAGGACGUUACUAACGACGAUAUGCUUUGGGGAGCUGUAAGUAAGCUUUGAUCCAGAGAUUUCCGAAUGGGGAAACCCAGCAUGAGUUAUGUCAUGUUAUCGAUAUGUGAAUACAUAGCAUAUCAGAAGGCACACCCGGAGAACUGAAACAUCUUAGUACCCGGAGGAAGAGAAAGAAAAUUCGAUUCCCUUAGUAGCGGCGAGCGAAACGGGAAGAGCCCAAACCAACAAGCUUGCUUGUUGGGGUUGUAGGACACUCUAUACGGAGUUACAAAGGACGACAUUAGACGAAUCAUCUGGAAAGAUGAAUCAAAGAAGGUAAUAAUCCUGUAGUCGAAAAUGUCUCUCUUGAGUGGAUCCUGAGUACGACGGAGC